GGAUGUUCAUACAUGCCUGGUUCCAAACCCGAAGGUUUUUAAUCUUGCUCAACAAUAAUAUGUAAUUCAACAUAUAUAUAUACGGGUAAUUGACAAAGGUGUAUCAACAUGUGAAUAAAUGCCAUGAUUAUCCAAGUGGGGACACUUGUAUAACCAUUUAGAAAUCAACUUAACAGAAUAUAUAUCUGAGCUAACAUGUUGAUAAUCAAAGCGUACAUAAUCUGUACAGGAAUAGAAUAAUUCUGAAACUUCUUACUCAUGUCCAUUGCAUAAAGAAAAUGCAAAGGUAGGAUACUUGCUUGAUUCGCUGAUUAUAACUCUCAACGUAGGUUUUAUCUCUUUAUCACAACCUAUCAAUAAUCAGAUCAUUCAUUCGAUUAGAACAAUAUAUCAUAACACAUAGUACUGUCUAUUACAGUCAGCACAUAGUCUAAUCACGUCAUCACAUAAUCGCAGUGAUCAUACUUUUAGUUCAUAUUCUAUACUUGAAAUAUUUUUAUACAUUUUUCAAAUAUCUCAUCCAUGCUCUUACAGAAGUCUUUUCUUUCUAUUAUAGGGUCUGACAUUUGUCGGCGUACCGACAGCUUUAUCGGGUAAAUACUGAGUCUAAGACUCUUAUCCUAUACCUCAACAUCUGUAAAUAUCAAACAUUUUAUUUUUAAUCAUUUUCGAAUUUUCCAGAAAUUGAAAAAUUUAAAAUAAUUCAAAUCUGUCACUACCGGGCCUAUAGUGAUAUAACUGUUACUAUAGGUGUUCCUCAAAACUUCAUAACUUCAUAAUCGGUUCUCAAGUCAGCUAGUUUGGCCGGCUAUAACUUUCAAACAUCGGAAUCAUAAUUAAAUGAUUUAAACAUUAAACAAUUCCAUUAUCAUUAAUAAUUAAUUUAUAUUAAACUAUUAAUGAAACCAUUGCCAAAAUAUAAAAGUUAUUUAUAAUAACUCAAACUAUUUUUAAAACAUUUAUAUUACCCUUAAAUGAUUUUUAAAACAAUUAAAAUCAUUUUUAAAUAAUCACCAUUAAUAUAUAAAUAUUAAUGUACUAUUCAUCCAAAUAUUAAAAGUCAUUAAUUAUAACUUAAAAUAUUUUUAAAUCCUUAAUAUCCUCUUUAAAUGAUUUUUAAAUAAAUAAAACCAUUUUUAAACUAUUUAUUUAAUAAUAAUUAUUAAAUAAACUAAAUAUCAUUAAUAUUAUCUUAAUAUCAUUAAUAUUAAAUUAUUAAUGAAAUUAUCCUUUAAAUAUUAAAAGUUAUAUUUUAUAACUUAAAAUAUUUUUAAAUACCUUAAUUUCAUUUAAAAUGAUUUUUAUAAUAUUAAAAUCAUUUUUAAACUAAAUUAUUUAAUAUAAUCAUUAAAUAACUUUAAUAUCAUUAAUAUAUAAUUAAUUAAUGAAAUUCAUCACAAAAUAUUAAAAGUCAUGGGAAAUAACUUAAAAUAUUUUCUUAUACCAUAAUAUAAUUUUUCAUGAUUUUUCAUGAAUUAAAACUAUUUUUAAAUCAUUUAUUUAAUAUUAUAAUUAAAUAAAUAAAUACCUUUUAUAUUCCAAAAAUAUUAAAUAUUUAUGAAAUAUACUCAAAAUAAUUAAAAACUAUUUUUCAGACUUUAAAAUAAUUUUUCAUAAUUUAUUUGGUAUUUUUAAUAAUUAAAAUCUAAUUUUUCUAAUUUUUAAAUCAUUUUUCGGAAAAUCAGAAAUUAAAAUAAUUAAAACUGUCGCUAAAGGCCCCUAUAGUGACAGAAGUGUCGCUAUAGGUGUUCUUGAGCCUACCCAGAUCUUCAUAAGGCAGAACCGAGUGGCCUACUUUGACCGUGAAUAACUCUCUCAUCUUAACGAAUUUGGACAAUCUAUAAAUUGGGUCUUGUAGAGGAAAUACAAGACUACAAGAUCCAACAAUCAUAACCUCUAAACAAACAUCAGAUCUGGGAUAAAUCAGCCAUCAAAGUAGCUACCAAAGCUGUUCUUCACGAAGAACAGUUCGAGGUGCCUACUUUGGACCUCUAUAACUUGAUGAUCGUGUAACGUUUAUGUGAUCUAUCAAUUCCAGUGUGUAGACAACAUGUAGGACUACAACUAUAACACUUAACAUCAUCAUAAAAACAAUACAUCAAGCAUCUAAAGUAUGGUCAAACCUUGUAAGAAAAAUAAACACUUAGAAAAUUCUGGGCUGCCCAGAAUUUUCCGGUCAAUGCCGGUCAACCCACUUUGACCUUAAAUAACUCUUAAUCCGUAAUAUAUAUGGACCUGAUUCUUUUUGGAGGUUAAAUAACACAUAACAAGCUAUACAUAUCAACCUUUAGAACACAAAACACAUUACAGAUGACCGAGAUAUAAGGCCUGACAUUUGCCAAAAAAUAUUUUCUGGACACUUAGAAUAUUUUCUGGGUUUGAAAAACAGCCGGUCAAUGCCGGUCAACCCACUUUGACCGCUUAUAAAUCCCGAUCUACAAUAGAUAUGAACUUGAUUCCUUUUGAAGGUUAAAGACCACAUAACAAGAUACACCUAACUACUUUUAAACAACACAAACAGUAAAUAAUCACAGAGAUAUAAGUCUUGACAUUUGCCCAAAAAUCACAGAAUUCGGUUUUUCCAACUUGCUCAAAUCUUCAAAUUCGUGCACUUUGAUGUUAUGGGUUCAUGAUUUUACAACCCAGAACAUUAAUAGACUCUCUAUUACACUACUUUAAACAAUCAAUUGCAUCAAUUAACAUCGAAUCGAAGGAUUUCUAGAAUUUAGGAUUUCCUACCUUUUCAAGCUUGAUUUUUGAUUUCUGGCUUCUUGAUGCUUCUGAUUUGUUGUUUGUGAUGGUUGGGCUUUGUUUAGGGACUGAUAUGCUACAAUAAUUCGUAGGUUUUAGAGAGAGAAGCUUAAGGAUGAGAGUUGGAUGAAUUUUAGUGUACAAAAUAUAUUAUCUCUCUC
rnacentral:lncRNA from 1 species